AACAUUGUUAUAAACGGCCCGUGGAUGUCUUUGUUUAACAAAAGGUUAUGAUAAUUCAUAACCUUUUGUUAAACAAAGACAUCCACGGGCCGUUUAUAA